AACGAACGCUGGCGGCAGGCUUAACACAUGCAAGUCGAACGCGUGUAGCAAUACACGAGUGGCGCACGGGUGAGUAACACGUGGAUAUCUGCCUUUUGGUUCGGGAUAACCCUGGGAAACUAGGGCUAAUACCGAAUGGUUCCUACGGGAUAAAGAUUUAUCGCCAAAAGAUGAGUCCGCGUCCGAUUAGCUAGUUGGUGAGGUAACGGCUCACCAAGGCGACGAUCGGUAGCUGGUCUG
rnacentral:rRNA from 1 species